rnacentral:rRNA from 1 species
AUUGAACGCUGGCGGCAGGCCUAACACAUGCAAGUCGAGCGGCAGCGGGAAAGUAGCUUGCUACUUUUGCCGGCGAGCGGCGGACGGGUGAGUAAUGCCUGGGAAAUUGCCCAGUCGAGGGGGAUAACAGUUGGAAACGACUGCUAAUACCGCAUACGCCCUACGGGGGAAAGCAGGGGACCUUCGGGCCUUGCGCGAUUGGAUAUGCCCAGGUGGGAUUAGCUAGUUGGUGAGGUAAUGGCUCACCAAGGCGACGAUCCCUAGCUGGUCUGAGAGGAUGAUCAGCCACACUGGAACUGAGACACGGUCCAGACUCCUACGGGAGGCAGCAGUGGGGAAUAUUGCACAAUGGGGGAAACCCUGAUGCAGCCAUGCCGCGUGUGUGAAGAAGGCCUUCGGGUUGUAAAACACUUUCAGCGAGGAGGAAAGGUCAGUAGCUAAUAUCUGCUGACUGUGACGUUACUCGCAGAAGAAGCACCGGCUAACUCCGUGCCAGCCGCCGCAGUAAAAC